ensembl:lncRNA
CUUGCCUUUCAUUUUUCAGAUGUGUAAGCUAGAUAAUGAAAAGCCAUUCCAGACCAUUUUAGGUAUUGCUGGGAUGAAGGUAAUGCAGAAUUGAGCAAGAAGGACAGAAAGUUUUCAGCCUUCUCUCCUGAAUGGAACAUGUCAGAGAAAGUCUUAUGAUAGAGCCAUCUCACAGAACCUCUUCUCCCACGUUCAGGCAAACCACUUGAUGCAUUAUUCAGGAUACAGAUAUAUGACCAAAUCAGAAAGUUAAGCACAUCAUGGGGGAAGUCUGAAAAGAUGGGUUACAUUACCAGGCUGGCAAAUCCAAGAAUGUGCCCUUCAGGCCCCUCCUUAACCUAGAAUCAAGUGCCUACAGCACAGUAUUUCCCCACCUCUGUAGUUCCUGCUUUCCUUCUCUACUGGACUUGCCUCACUGCAUCAAUAUUGGCACUUGCCAGCCCAGCUGGGGAGCUCUGAUCCUCCGCUACACCCCUGGAAGCGAUCGCUUUCUCCAUGAAGAAGUUCAAGUCUUUCCUGCCUCCCUCUCCAAAGGAAAUGCAAAACAUUUUUCUUCCUGAAGAAUUCAG